rnacentral:rRNA from 1 species
GGAAGGUCCGGGCGUUAUCCGGAUUUAUUGGGCUUAAAGGGAGCGUAGGCCGGAGAUUAAGCGUGUUGUGAAAUGUAGAUGCUCAACAUCUGAACUGCAGCGCGAACUGGUUUCCUUGAGUACGCACAAAGUGGGCGGAAUUCGUGGUGUAGCGGUGAAAUGCUUAGAUAUCACGAAGAACUCCGAUUGCGAAGGCAGCUUGCUGGACUGUAACUGACGCUGAUGCUCGAAAGUGUGGGUAUCAAACAGGAUUAGAUACCCUGGUAGUCCACACAGUAAACGAUGAAUACUCGCUGUUUGCNAUAUACAGUAAGCGGCCAAGCGAAAGCGUUAAGUAUUCCACCUGGGGAGU